rnacentral:rRNA from 1 species
ACGAACGCUGGCGGCGUGCCUAAUACAUGCAAGUCGAACGGUCUUUCUAUGGAAGCUUGCUUCCACGUGAGAAGAUAGUGGCGAACGGGUGAGUAACACGUGGGUAACCUGCCCAUAAGAGGGGGAGUAACAUCCGGAAACGGGUGCUAAUACCGCAUAGUUUUCUUGAUCGCAUGAUUGAGAAAGGAAAGACGGCCUUUGUGCUGUCGCUUAUGGAUGGACCCGCGGCGUAUUAGUUAGUUGGUGAGGUAACGGCUCACCAAGACGAUGAUACGUAGCCGACCUGAGAGGGUGAUCGGCCACAUUGGGACUGAGACACGGCCCAAACUCCUACGGGAGGCAGCAGUAGGGAAUCUUCCGCAAUGGACGAAAGUCUGACGGAGCAACGCCGCGUGAGUGAAGAAAAGGGUUUUCGGAUCGUAAAACUCUGUUGUCAGAGAAGAACAAGUUGGAGAGUAACUGCUUCAGCCUUGACGGUAUCUGACCAGAAAGCCACGGCUAACUACGUGCCAGCCGCCGC